rfam:Schistosoma rodhaini strain Burundi genome assembly, scaffold: SROB_scaffold0001923
AUCCAUCUGACGAGUCCCAAAUAGGACUAAACGCGUGUCCUGGGU